UGUUUGAAUAGAAUAUAAGUUUACGUGGGAAGAAGUUGUUUUUUCUUGGUUGUUAAGUGUUUUGAAAAGAAGAGGUUUUUUUUGUUUUCCAACACCUUUUUGAAGAGUAAUGGCCACUGGUGGAGACCAAGAUUAAGUCACUUUUUUUGGAUAUGGAAUAGACAAUAAUUUUGGGUUCUUUUGGCAUUGGAUGGACUUUAGUUUUUUUGUUUUUUGGAGAUAGAUAGUUUUCCCGGUGCUAGGAAGUACCUCCUUGUCGCACCUCAUCGUCGUACCUUCUGGUUGGUGAGAAGUACUCCCCCUAAGGUAGGGAAAACCGGAAGAUACCUUACUUGGCUCUCCCGCAUCAACCGGAGUUUGGAGAAGCCACAGGCCUACUUUUUGUAGAAACGACAGGUUUUUAUUAUUAAAAAUUACAUCAUAAAUUCUUUUACAUAACUUAUUUCAACUUUAACAUUUUUUAAUAACAUAAAUAAUCUUAAUAAUCAUAUAAAUUCAUUUUUCUAAAAUCAAUUAACGUAUCAUAAUCAAUAUUUUUCUUUUCAACAAAUUUUAUAUGUCAUUUUCAUUAUUGUAUUUUUCUUAUUUAAAAUAGUCCGGAGAUCAUAACCUAUCUGGUAAGAUACUGUGCACACUAUCUCGGUUAUUAUCACAAUCUAUCAGUAUUGUCCGGUUUGUCAUUCCGAUCAGAUAUGGGAUUGUCAACCAAUAUUGUAAUCCUCCUUAAUAAUAAGUUUUUG
rnacentral:lncRNA from 1 species